CCGAAUUCGUCGACAACAGAGUUUGAUCCUGGCUCAGGAUGAACGCUGGCGGCGUGCUUAACACAUGCAAGUCGAACGAUGAAGCCCAGCUUGCUGGGUGGAUUAGUGGCGAACGGGUGAGUAACACGUGAGUAACCUGCCCCUGACUCUGGGAUAAGCCCGGGAAACUGGGUCUAAUACCGGAUAUGACUUUUGACCGCAUGGUUGAGGGUGGAAAGAUUUAUCGGUUGGGGAUGGACUCGCGGCCUAUCAGCUUGUUGGUGAGGUAAUGGCUCACCAAGGCGACGACGGGUAGCCGGCCUGAGAGGGUGACCGGCCACACUGGGACUGAGACACGGCCCAGACUCCUACGGGAGGCAGCAGUGGGGAAUAUUGCACAAUGGGCGCAAGCCUGAUGCAGCGACGCCGCGUGAGGGAUGACGGCCUUCGGGUUGUAAACCUCUUUCAGUAGGGAAGAAGCGAAAGUGACGGUACCUGCAGAAGAAGCGCCGGCUAACUACGUGCCAGCAGCCGCGGUAAUACGUAGGGCGCAAGCGUUAUCCGGAUUUAUUGGGCGUAAAGAGCUCGUAGGCGGUUUGUCGCGUCUAUCGUGAAAGUCCGAGGCUCAACCUCGGAUCUGCGGUGGGUACGGGCAGACUAGAGUGAUGUAGGGGAGACUGGAAUUCCUGGUGUAGCGGUGAAAUGCGCAGAUAUCAGGAGGAACACCGAUGGCGAAGGCAGGUCUCUGGGCAUUUACUGACGCUGAGGAGCGAAAGCAUGGGGAGCGAACAGGA
rnacentral:rRNA from 1 species